GACGAACGCUGGCGGCGUGCUUAACACAUGCAAGUCGAACGGAAAGGCCCUGCUUUUGUGGGGUGCUCGAGUGGCGAACGGGUGAGUAACACGUGAGUAACCUGCCCUUGACUUUGGGAUAACUUCAGGCAACUGGGGCUAAUACCGGAUAGGAGCUCCUGCUGCAUGGGGGGGGUUGGAAAGUUUCGGCGGUUGGGGCUGGACUCGCGGCUUAUCAGCUGGUUGGGGGGGUAGUGGCUUACCAAGGCUUUGACGGGUAGCCGGCCUGGGAGGGUGACCGGCCACCUUGGUCCUGCGGUACGCACCAGACUCCUACGGGAGGCAGCAGUGGGGAAUAUUGCCCAAUGGGCGGACGCCUGAUGCAGCAACGCCGCGUGCGGGAUGACGGCCUUCGGGUUGUAAACCGCUUUCGCCUGUGACGAAGCGUGAGUGACGGUAAUGGGUAAAGAAGCACCGGCUAACUACGUG
rnacentral:rRNA from 1 species